GAUGAACGCUGGCGGCGUGCCUAAUACAUGCAAGUCGAGCGAACGGACGAGAGGCUUGCUUCUCUGAUGUUAGCGGCGGACGGGUGAGUAACACGUGGAUAACCUACCUAUAAGACUGGGAUAACUUCGGGAAACCGGAGCUAAUACCGGAUAAUAUUUUGAACCGCAUGGUUCAAAAGUGAAAGACGGUCUUGCUGUCACUUAUAGAUGGAUCCGCGCUGCAUUAGCUAGUUGGUAAGGUAACGGCUUACCAAGGCAACGAUGCAUAGCCGACCUGAGAGGGUGAUCGGCCACACUGGAACUGAGACACGGUCCAGACUCCUACGGGAGGCAGCAGUAGGGAAUCUUCCGCAAUGGGCGAAAGCCUGACGGAGCAACGCCGCGUGAGUGAUGAAGGUCUUCGGAUCGUAAAACUCUGUUAUUAGGGAAGAACAUAUGUGUAAGUAACUGUGCACAUCUUGACGGUACCUAAUCAGAAAGCCACGGCUAACUACGUGC
rnacentral:rRNA from 1 species